GCCAACCCGUGGGGCAGAAAGACGCCGGCCCCACAGCUGAGGUCGAACCCCACUAAGAGAGCGGCGGAAGGGAACAGGUUGAGGUUCCCCACGUGGUCGGAGUGGCCGUGGGUGCACAGCACGUGGGUGACGUCCCGGGGGGAAACCCCCACGGCUUCCAGCUCGUCCAGGAGCCGCCGCCGUCCCCACGGCCCCCCCGUGUCCACCAGGGCGGUGACGGGACCCCCCCGCACCAGGGUGACGGAGCAGUCGGCCUCGAAGGUCCCGUCGGCUCGGGGGCGGCUGUAGCCCUCCUGGAGGAUGGUGAGGCUGUAGGGGGACCCCGGGAUCUGGCGGGACCCCAACGGGACGGUCCGGACGGUGGGGAACAUGGCGGGGGGGUCUUUAUCCCGCCCGGGGGGGGCUCAGGGAUCCCUCAGAGCCCCUCAGACUCCGCCAUCUCCAAUCACCGCCGCCUCGCGGUUCCGCUUAGGCCCAAGCCGGCACUGCG
rnacentral:lncRNA from 1 species